rnacentral:rRNA from 1 species
AGGACGAACGCUGGCGGCGUGCCUAACACAUGCAAGUCGAACGGUGAACCGGGCUUCGGCCCGGGGAUCAGUGGCGAACGGGUGCGUAACACGUGGGCAACCUGCCCCCGACUCUGGGAUAACCCCGGGAAACCGGAGCUAAUACCGGAUAUUCCGACCGAGCCGCAUGGCUUGGCCGGGAAAAGUCCGCCGGUCGGGGAUGGGCCCGCGGCCUAUCAGCUUGUUGGUGGGGUAACGGCCUACCAAGGCGACGACGGGUAGCU